GAUGAACGCUGGCGGCGUGCCUAAUACAUGCAAGUCGAGCGAACAGACGAGGAGCUUGCUCUUCUGAUGUUAGCGGCGGACGGGUGAGUAACACGUGGAUAACCUACCUAUAAGACUGGGAUAACUUCGGGAAACCGGAGCUAAUACCGGAUAAUAUUUUGAACCGCAUGGUUCAAUAGUGAAAGACGGUCUUGCUGUCACUUAUAGAUGGAUCCGCGCUGCAUUAGCUAGUUGGUAAGGUAACGGCUUACCAAGGCAACGAUGCGUAGCCGACCUGAGAGGGUGAUCGGCCACACUGGAACUGAGACACGGUCCAGACUCCUACGGGAGGCAGCAGUAGGGAAUCUUCCGCAAUGGGCGAAAGCUUGACGGAGCAACGCCGCGUGAGUGAUGAAGGUCUUCGGAUCGUAAAACUCUGUUAUUAGGGAAGAACAUAUGUGUAAGUAACUAUGCACGUCUUGACGGUACCUAAUCAGAAAGCCACGGCUAACUACGUG
rnacentral:rRNA from 1 species